UACAGAGGUCUCAAGCGUUGUUCGGAUUCAUUGGGCGUAAAGGGUGCGUAGGUGGCAGGGUAAGUCGGAUGUGAAAUCCCGGGGCUCAACCUCGGAACUGCAUUCGAUACUGCUUGCUUGAGUACUGGAGAGGAGAUUGGAAUUUACGGUGUAGCAGUGAAAUGCGUAGAUAUCGUAAGGAAGACCAGUGGCGAAGGCGGAUCUCUGGACAGUUACUGACACUGAGGCACGAAGGCCAGGGGAGCAAACGGG
rnacentral:rRNA from 1 species